UCCAGGCCUUGCAGCGGCCCGGGACUCGGCCUCAGGCUCGGCCCGCCGAUACUCUGGGAAAGAAAUAAUUAAAUGGCUGCUUUGAUGGGAUAUCGGCAAAUAAUUUAAGAGUAAAAGGGAAAGGAUGGCCAGUGUUUAUAAAAAACCCAAACCCAAAACAAACGAACAAAACCCUCUCUUCACUGAUGCACAUUUUAAACUACAAACAGCUAAUCCUUACGCUAUUUCCUUGUAAACUAUUUAACUGUGACAAAAAGGGUGUUCUUUUUUAGCAUUUUAAACAGCUCAGAUGGAAGCAAGGAAAUUAGCAUGAAGUGAAAUAUUUGUGGGAGCUUAAUACAGUUAAAAUAUUGUUAUUUUGCCUGACAUAAGACUCUGGGGCCAAUUAACCAUUUCUAAUUAAGUAGCCUAAAACAGAACAGCACACAGCAAGAAACAGUGGCCGAAUAGUGAUGACCAAACCGUGGAAGGGAGACCGGCCGUGAACAUGAGAGAACCAGGAAACCAUUCUUGUGAGUGAAAAAUCACAGACCUCACCUGCAAAUUCUGUGCACAGAAGACUAUAAAAUCAUUCCUGUGGCUACAGAAUGAAUCACAGUACUGCAGCUCAUAUUUAUCAUUACAGCUCCUUGGAAGUCAAUGGAAUAAUAUUCGUUUGUCCGCUUUUGACUGAGAAUAUGACUGGAUAAAAUUUUAGUCAGAACUGAAGAAUAAACUAGAAACCUUGAGUGUUGUUAA